UAGAGGAAGUAAAAGUCGUAACAAGGUCUCCGUUGGUGAACCAGCGGAGGGAUCAUUACUGAGUUUACGCUCUACAACCCUUUGUGAACAUACCUAUAACUGUUGCUUCGGCGGGCAGGGUCUCCGUGACCCUCCCGGCCUCCCGCCCCCGGGCGGGUCGGCGCCCGCCGGAGGAUAACCACACUCUGAUUUAACGACGUUUCUUCUGAGUGGUACAAGCAAAUAAUCAAAACUUUUAACAACGGAUCUCUUGGUUCUGGCAUCGAUGAAGAACGCAGCGAAAUGCGAUAAGUAAUGUGAAUUGCAGAAUUCAGUGAAUCAUCGAAUCUUUGAACGCACAUUGCGCCCGCCAGCAUUCUGGCGGGCAUGCCUGUUCGAGCGUCAUUUCAACCCUCAAGCUCUGCUUGGUGUUGGGGCCCUACGGCUGACGUAGGCCCUCAAAGGUAGUGGCGGACCCUCCCGGAGCCUCCUUUGCGUAGUAACUUUACGUCUCGCACUGGGAUCCGGAGGGACUCUUGCCGUAAAACCCCCAAUUUUCCAAAGGUUGACCUCGGAUCAGGUAGGAAUACCCGCUGAACUUAAGCAUAUCAAUA
rnacentral:rRNA from 1 species